UCUCCGUAGGUGAACCUGCGGAAGGAUCAUUAUUGUAUAACCGAGGUGCGAGGGCUGUCGCUGACCCGAAAGGUCGUGCACGCCCGAGUGCCCUCACACACAUCCAUCUCACCCCUAUGUGCACCACCGCGUGGGUCCCCCUUUGGCUUGUUCGGAGGGGGGCUUACGUUUUCACACAAACUUUGUAUGCAGUGUAGAAUGUAUUUUUUGUUUUUGCGAUCACGCAAUCAAUACAACUUUCAACAAUGGAUCUCUUGGCUCUC
rnacentral:misc_RNA from 1 species